rnacentral:rRNA from 1 species
GACGAACGCUGGCGGUGUGCUUAACACAUGCAAGUCGAACGGUAAGGCCCUUUCGGGGGUACACGAGUGGCGAACGGGUGAGUAACACGUGAGUAACCUGCCCUCAUCUCUGGGAUAACAGUCGGAAACGGUUGCUAAUACUCGAUAUGAGCUUGCAAGGCAUCUUGUGGGUUGGAAAGAUUUUUUUGGUUGGGGAUGGACUCGCGGCCUAUCAGCUUGUUGGUGAGGUAGUGGCUCACCAAGGCUUCGACGGGUAGCCGGCCUGAGAGGGCGACCGGCCACAUUGGGACUGAGAUACGGCCCAAACUCCUACGGGAGGCAGCAGUGGGGAAUAUUGCACAAUGGACGGAAGUCUGAUGCAGCAACGCCGCGUGCGGGAUGACGGCCUUCGGGUUGUAAACCGCUUUCAAUUGUGACGAAGCUUUUUGUGACGGUAGCAGUAGAAGAAGCACCGGCUAACUACGUG